UCGCGUCGUUGUCGCGGUGUCCCGGUCCCCGUUUUUAAUCAAGACCCUGAUGAGGAGCCUGAGGAGAAAGAAACCGAAGAGGAGUACCUGGAGGAGAACCCUGAUGAUGAUUUGAGUACGAAUCGGAUGAGGACUGAAAUCCUGUCAUCUUUUAGGAAUCCUGUUUAAAUGUGAAUAAUGUGAGACUAGAGUGUUAUGAAUAGUCUUGUGAAUAGAUAUGCCAUGUAUAAAGGUUCAGUUGUAGAUUUCAAUAUGAAAAAUAUGGCCUUACUUUUCUAUCCCA